GGGACGACAUCACAAUUCCAUACCAUGCCCUAGCUUCACUUUCUAGGCCUUUUUAACUUAAAAAUUUGUUUCAAAAGCAUGUGAUCUAAGUCCUCUCUAAAACCAUAGGUGGCCUGACAACACAGAUAAACAGCAGAGAAGAAGAAAUGGUCUUCCAUCUUCAGAGAAUCAAAGCUGCAGACAUGUAAUAGUUUGUCACUGCCAGCAAAUGACAAUGCAGAGGUGAACUGUAUCCAUGUGGAGAACCAUGUGGAGAACCAUGUGGAGAACCAUGUGGAAAACCAUGGGGAGAACCAUGUGGAGAACCAUGUGGAGGAGAACCAUGUGGAGAAGAACCAUGUGGAGGAGAACCAUGUGGAGGAGAACUAUGUGGAGAACCAUGUGGAGAACCAUGUGGAUUAUUUCUCAUCAUGAUGCUAGUGAAGAAGUGGCAAAAUCACCUUAAUUUCUUUAAUUCAGAUUGUCUGUGGUUUGAUAUUGAAGUAGCAGCUAAAAACAUACCCGCUGAAGCAUGAAGGUUGCUACUAUGUGUUAUAAUUUCUUUUCAACAAAAAUACAGCUAUAUUUAAAAGA